ACCACAUUAAAAAAAGAAAAACUUUGAUCUCAAGACCUAAUACUUGGCAGGAUUGAUCCAUGUGACAAUACGAAAAUGUAAGAGACAUUGCGCCUCGUUGAAUGCUCUUCAGAGCAAGCAUUGGCUAGCAGUCGGAGGUGGGUCUCGGUUUUGAUCACUUGCCUUUGCCGAUCUUCAUUUGAAAGCCGGUGAAGAUCUUGUUGGAGAAGAAGACGUAAAGGUCGGCAGCAAAGUUUGGGUGAUUGGGUAUCUGUUUAGCCUAGGGUUUCUUAGCGUUUGAUCCUAGGCUUGGCUUAAAUCUAUAUCGCAUUCCAUAUUUUAAGUGGACUUGGGCUUGUAACUAAAUUUCAUCUAAAGAACCUUAUAUUUUUUGAUAAAAAAAGGAAAAUGUUAAAAAAAUUGUUCUAGCAAAA